UACGUAGGGUGCAAGCGUUGUCCGGAAUUAUUGGGCGUAAAGAGCUCGUAGGCGGUCUGUUGCGUCGGCUGUGAAAACCCGAGGCUCAACCUCGGGCCUGCAGCCGAUACGGGCAGACUAGAGUUCGGCAGGGGAGACUGGAAUUCCUGGUGUAGCGGUGAAAUGCGCAGAUAUCGAGGAGGGAACACCCGGUGGGCGAAAGGC
rnacentral:rRNA from 1 species